rnacentral:lncRNA from 1 species
GCGAGAGUCUUAUCCCCACUGUUACCGGGGUUAACAUUAUCAAUUGGUAAACCAAGCCAUUUAAACUGUACUUUGAAAAUGAUUGAAAUAUAUGAAAUAUUUCAUUUAAAAUCUUGAUAAAACUAAGAGAGGGAAGGUCUCAACACUUAACGGUGCGUGUAGCUCACAGCUUAAUGAUAUGAGGAAAAGUAAAUGUGUUUUAUAAAUCACAAGUGUACUACCAAUAAUUAUGCACACUUUUUAGAAUUUCGUAAAUUUUUCGUUUUUGUACCUUUUCGCAUGGACUGGCUCAUAUAUAAAAU